GAGGGAUGGACGGAUGGAUGGAGGGCGGGAGCCGCGCUGGUGAGGAGGAGCCGCCGCCGCCGCCUCAUCCUGCGGCACCGGCCGGCGGCGUGAGGAGCCCGGCGAGCGCAGGUGGCAGUGUAGAAGCCAAGAACGAAAAUUGGCAGAAAUUAUAUUCUGUGUAUGAGAAAAUGAAGAGUGUACUCAUGACUAAGCACAGGAACCUGGAAAACCACAGGCUUUAGUCAGGUGAUCGCGGAUGACUCGUCAGCCCACCAAGAAGGGACUUCAGCACACAGGUCGUGUCGGAUUAAUGCUGUGGAUCGGUCGACCCAGAACCUGUAGUUGCC